AUGAUCUGUUGAUAACAAAUUAAAGCCACUGUACCAAGCCAUUAGUUCACUUUGUUACUUCCAGCUUUCCAGUUAUCAAAAAAAUGGAGUAAGGUCUUGAAGACUAAGACCUGGGAUGGGUAACUUCUGCUGAGCUGACAGUCUGGUACAGCAGGAGACCCAGAUGUCAGGUGCGACUGAAGAAACUGGACAACUUGUGGAUAGAAUGAGGGCCUCGUGGAUAAAUUUGAGGAUAAGAAAAAAAAAUACUGUGAAUGUGUACAUUAUCUACUAUAUAUAUACGUAAAAGACAAAGUGUGCAAAUUAUGGAUACAUUUAUAGAAAUUGCUAAAAAUGGUAAUGUAGAUCUAUAUUUAUUGAAACGGAAAGAUGCAGAAGAUGGAUUUCUGUGUGAAAAAUAGUUCAUUUAAAAAACUAUAUUCUCUGUGAAUUUGAAGACUCUGCAUUCCAAGUACUGUUGAAUUUCUCUGAGUGCUGAAUACAGUUAAUUUUUAUGCUCUUUUAUUUACCUUUUUAUGGAAACUAAAUUUUUUUUUACAAUGAGAAGUCAAUAUUUUACCAUCGCAAACAGCAAUAAAACUCUUCCGUUAUAAUAAGAGGGAGUGCAGGUUGCAGAGGGGAGGCGAGGAUGGUGGCAGUUGCUGGAUGCAGGAAGGGACCAAACAGAGCAAGUGUGAGAAGGUGUUGCAUGGAAAGCAAGGCAUUAGCCCAGGGCCGUAGAAGAAAGAGAAAUGAGAGAGGGGCGGCAAGAAUGGCUAAGGACUUUUCUUCUAUUGCCAGUUUCUUCUGUACUUUUGCCCAGAUCAAUAGAGGAAGUCAAAAGAAAAACAAAAAUGAAAACAUGCAAAUGGCAACUUUAGGUGGUAACAUUUCAUUCAGCUUCUCUGCCUUCUCUGGACUAGUGGAUGGAGUGGAAAUUUAUGGGCUCCCAGUUCCUAUCAUGAGCAGCUGGAGAUCUCAACUUCAUCUUGGAGCCCUACCUCACAAAGCAUUUCAAGUUCUCAAGGCGUGUCCCAUGGCUGGAAUGAUGUGCUUCACAGAGAAAGGUUAA
rnacentral:lncRNA from 1 species